GCAAAAAGCACACCAAAUCUUAUUAAAAUUUGAUGGCAGCAUGAAAGUCAGAGCAGACCUGAUCAUGGCAGAUUCUGUAGACAUAAUUUUUUAAAAAUUCCCUUCUCAGAAACAUUUUUUAUAAUGAGCUAUUUAAAAUAAAAUUAUUGGAGACCCCAUUGUGGUGCACUGGAAAGAAUCUGACUAGCACCCAUGAGGAUGCACGUUGGAUCCCUGGCCUCGCUAAAUGGGCCAGGGAUCUGGCAUUGCUGUGCUGUGGUGUAGGCCUGCAGCUGUAGCUCCAAUUCGAUCCCUAGCCUGGGAACUUCCAUAUGCUGUGAGGAUGGCCCUAAAAAGCAAUAAAUAAAUAAAUAAAUAAAACAAAAUAAUAAAAUAAUUCAAAACAAUAAGCAUAUUAAAAUACUUUAGAUAAAAAGGACAAUUGCUUGUUCUGAUAUUCCCUUUAUAAAAAAGAAAAUGAGUAGAUAUUUUUAAACCAUAUCUGUGAAUUAUUCUUUAUCCAACUUUAAUCAACACUUCUUAGCACUACUUUAUAUAAAAUAGAUUAUGGUUCACUUUGUAACCAUGGGGGUGUUUAUAUUUUUCAGUGUAGAAUAUCACCUAAUUCAUGUCUUAUUGAAUUUCAAAGAAGCAUUUGUUAUCAUCCUCAGAUUUACAUGUGCUGGAAUCUUUUACUAUAUGUACCCUAUCUUCCUGCUGUUAAAAUGUAUGAGCUCUGAGGGAAGAAGAAAGGAGAGAAAGAUGAAGACAGAGAGGGUGAGGGGGAGAAAGGAGAGAAGGAGGCAGGAAGGGAGAGAAGGAAGAGGGGAGGAAGAAAGAAAAGAAGGGAGGGAAGAAAAGGAGGAAGCAGCAGAAAGGAAAGAAAAGAAAAACAAGCUAAGCCAUACUUGAACAUACUAAAGAUUAACAACAAAUGCAUUAAAUUUCUAGAAGAUAGUUAAUACCAAGAAGGAAAUGACAGCAUUUUUUUUUUUCCUGUAUCAUACAGCUUUUAGCCUGAAAGAAGGGUGCAAUAAAGUUCUGUUGGGUGGCUAAAACUCUGUUAGAAACCCUUCAGUUAUCCUGGGCAAUGAUAGCUCCUUGAAAGUGAGAGAAGGCACUCAGAAAGGAAAGACUAGCAGAAGAGGGGUCCCAAGUUCUAUGUAUAAAUUCUACGCAAAUUUCUGGCUGACCUCUGUGUGUAUGGUGGACUCCAAGUAGCACAUCUAAGGACUAAAGAACUGAUCAAAGGUUUGAAUUGCCACCCAAGAAAUGGAGUCUGAAGUCUGGGUCUUGUUACAUUACUCACCAGCUAAAACGAACUAAAAAACAAUUCUCUUCAAAGGAUUAUGAUAAAAUCUAAAUACAAUAUGUCAUUUAUAAUGAUAAGAGUACAAUACAAAAUUACUUGACAUAUGAGGAAAACAGUAAAAUGUCACUGAUUAUCUUUUCAAAAGACAACUAGCAGAGUUUAGUCUUGAAACGACUGAGGUAUUUAAGUAAACAAGAAUUUUAAAACAAUUAAAUUUAUAUCAAUGAUAUAAAAAUAAGCAAGUUCAUAAUAAAUGAAAAGGUAGGGAUCUCAGCAGAGAAAAUGAAAGGAAAAAAAAUUCCAGAAAAGUACAAUAUCUAAAUUUUUUUUGAAAUUACAGAAUGGAGAUGACAAAGUAAAGUUCCAGUGAACUUGAAAGUAGAAUAAUAGAAAUGAUCUAUUCUGAAGAACCAAGAAAAAUAGAAGAAAAAUGAACAGUCUCAGGUGUCUAUGGGAUAAUUUUAAAAGGUCCAAUUUACAUUUAACUGGGGUAUCAGAAAAAGAGAAUAUAGGGCAAAAGUACUUAAAUAAAUGAUAGCCAAAAAGUUUCCAAAUUGGUGAAAAUAACAAGUAUACAGAUAUAAGAAUCAGGAUGACAUCCAAGCAGUAAAAAUUCAGAGAAUAUCAUAUCUAGGAACAUUACAGUCAAACUAUUUUAAAGCAAAAAUAGGAACAUCCUUGAAAGCAACAAGAAGAAAAACAACACAUUUAACACGGGGGGACAGUGAUUAGUUCACAAAUGACUUUCUAUCUCAAAUUACGGAUGCCAGAGGACAUCUGAGUAACAGAUUAAAAGUGCUGAAAAGAAAGUGACCCAAGAACUUCAUAUUGAUCUAAGCUUUUCCUUAAAAAUAAAGGCAAAAAGGAGAUAUUUUAGAUUUUUUAAAUGAGAGAUUUCUGUCAUGAGCAAACCUGUAAUAGAAGAAAUGUUAGUUUUUCAGUCUAAUGUGAAAUAAUACCAGAGGUAAACCUGGAUCUCUAGGAAGCAGAAAUGGUAAAUUUCUAGAUAAAUAUAAACAUAUAUUUUCUUUCUUUAUUUCUAUGUAAUACAUAAACCUGUUUAAAGCAAAAUUUGUAACAUAGUUUUGUAAGGUGUAUACUGUACGUACAUGUAACACAUAGAACUAUAGCGCAAAAGUUAAAGAGGGAAGAAAUGGACCCAGAGGGUUAUAAGGUUUCUAAAUUUUACGUGGAAUAAAUUACUAAUCUACCUAGUUUGUAAAAAUUACAGGUAUGUACUAUAAUCUCUAGAGCAACUAUUAAAAUGGUAAAAGAAAUCAAAUACCAUAAAAACUCAUUUUUAAGAAAGAGACUGUCACCUCAAUCAAAUCCAAGGAAGUGAAUAAAUUUAAUUCCGAUAGAAUAAUAACUGACUUGCACUUUAUUUUUAAUUGAAGUAUAAUUGAUCUACAAUUAUAACUAUCUUACAAUUAUAUUAAUCUCAGGUGUAAAACAAUGAUUCAUUAUUUUUAGACACUGCAAAAUGAUCACCACAAGAAGUCUAGUUACAACCUAUCAUCACACACACCUGAGGUUGCUAGCUGUAAGGUACAGGAGGGCCAGGGAUGGACACCACCUUGCUAGUGAGUAGGUAAGCCCCCAGCACUAAUAGGCUAAAGAGAGGAUUCCAGAAUAUUACCUGCUAACACCAGUGUCCUCAUGGUGGUACAAGCAUCACUGGCAGGAGUAUCAGUGACCUCCUGACUCUCCAGGAGACUUUCCAGGAUCAGCAAGUGGGUGUGACCCGGCUCUGUGUGGCCUUUUAGGGUAGAGUCUCUGUUUCAUAUAGACUUCCAGCUCUCGUAUGCAAGCCCUGUUGGCCUUUAAAGCCAGACCUUGGGGUCUGUCUUCCUAGUGCAGGACCUAUUAGCUGGGGAGCCCAAUGUGGGGGCUCAGACUCCUCACUCCUUAGGGAGAACCUCUGCAAUUAGGCUUAUCUUUCCAUUUGAAGGAGUGUAAGUCUUGAUUGUAUCACAUUCUGCCCCUCCUAACCCUUCUCCUUGUGGUUCCUUCUUUGUAUCUUUAGCUGUAAAAAAGCCUUUAUUUUUUUCUGCUAGUCUUCAUGUCCUUCUCACAGAUGGCUGCUCUAUAAAGAAUUGUAAUUUUGGUGCCCACCCCCCCAAGGGAGGAGGUGAGCUCAGGAAUUUUCCACUCCACCAUUUUGACCACCAAGAAUUGGCAUUAUAAUUCUUAAUGAAACUUUUUUAUGCAUUGUUUCUUUUCAAUAUAUUCAGUAUGUGUUAUAACUGUGCUGAAUGACAGAAAUGACAAUAGUUCAAAGGGAUAGGUAAAGCCUUGAUUCACUCACCAGAGUAAUUACAUUCCUAAUUUCAAAUCUAUUGUGAAGAGAACUUCCUAUCACUAGUUCACAUAAAGACAUGUGAAGGCAAAUAUUUAUCACAGUAUUUUUCAUAGUGGGAGGGGGCACAGACGUAAUCCAGAAGAAUGGGGAAGUUAAACAUGGAAGCAUUCAAUGUAAUAGUAUAAAAGAGUUAGAAACAACAGACUAGAUGUACUCACAGCAAUAUGAAUGCAUCUUCUAAACAUAAGUGAAUAAAAACCAAGACAAAGAUCAGAUUGAAAUCUCUAAGAUCAUAACUUAGAUAAAUUAAAAAUGUAUGCUUACUCAUGACAAUACACAUCUUAUAGAAAAACAUACAAAGUAAUGCAUCUAAACAUGUCAGAAUGGUUGUUUCUGGGGAAAGGAAAGGAGACUUCAGAAAAAGAUUAAAAAUAGAUAAGACACAUAAUUAGAUGGAUAGAUAGACAGAAAAAUGAUAGGAGUAGCUCCUUUCAAUGUAUCAUGAAAGGAACAGAAUGAAUAACUCCACCUUUCUACCUAAGGCCCAUCCAACAAAGGAAAGAAAAGGAAUUGAAUUUUCUAAACAUCAUUUUUUUCCUCUUUAUUUUUCUACUUUGGAUAGCUAGGAUUCACUUCCACACCUGUUUUAUAGCUUAAAGUGAUUGAUAGGUUUUACAAAAGACCCAUCAAACUGUUGCAAUAAUUUAUAGCAAUUAAAAUUAAAAGCAUAAGGCAGAAUAUUUGCAGUGACCAGUGUAGAUGUAAAGCCAGAUUUUCAAAAUCUAUACAUUCCUAAAACCAAAUGAAAAGGAAUUCACAGGUUUUAAACAUUUGAUUUGUACCACUGUUUAACGAUCUAGGCCAGAGUCUGACAAACUAUAACUUGCAUGCCAACUCUAGGAGAAAAAGCUGUUUUUGUACAGACCAUGAGCUAAGAAUAUUAUAACAGAAAGACAAAAAUACUUCUUUGAGUAGAGUUUUGUCUGGAUAGAUGCCCAAGAGUGGGAUUGCAGGGUCAUAUGGAAGUUCUAUGUAUAAAUUUCUAAGGUAUCUCCAAACUGUUCUCCACAGUGGCUGUACCAGUUUACAUUCCCUCCAACAGUGCAGGAGGGUUCCCUUUUCUCCACAGCCCCUCCAGCACUUGUUAUUUGUGGAUUUAUUAAUGAUGGCCAUUCUGACUGGUGUGAGGUGGUAUCUCAUGGUAGUUUUGAUUUGCAUUUCUCUCAUAAUCAGCGAUGUUGAGCAUUUUCUCAUGAGUUUGCUGGCCAUCUGUAUAUCUUCCUUGGAGAACAGACUAUUUAGGUCUUUUGCCCAUUUUUCCAUUGAUUGAUUUGCUGUUUUGCUGUUGGGUUGUAUAAGUUCUUUAUAUAUUCUAGAGAUUAAGCCCUUGUCAGUUGCAUCAUUUGAAACUAUUUUCUCCCAUUCUGUAAGUUGUCUUUUUGGUUUCUUUUGGGUUUCCUUUGCUGUGCAAAAGCUUUUCAGUUUGAUGAGGUUCCAUGGGUUUAUUUUUGCUCUAAUUUCUAUUGCUUUGGGAGACUGACCUGAGAAAAUAUUCAUGAUGUUGAUGUCAGAGAGUGUUUUGCCUAUGUUUUCUUCUAGGAGUUUGAUGGUGUCCUGUCGUAUAUUUAAGUCUUUCAGCCAUUUGGAGUUUAUUUUUGUGCAUGGUGUGAGGGUGUUUUCUAGUUUCAUUGCUUUGCAUGCAGCUGUCCAGGUUUCCCAGCAAUGCUUGCUGAAUAGACUUUCUUUUUCCCAUUUUAUGUUCUUGCCUCCCUUGUCAAAGAUUAAUUGACCAUAGGUGUCAGGGAUUGCAGCACUAUUCACAAUAGCCAGGACAUGGAAACAACCCAAAUGUCCAUCGACAGAUGAUUGGAUUCGGAAGAUGUGGUAUAUAUAAUACGCAAUGGAAUACUACUCAGCCAUAAAAAAGAAUGACAUAAAGCCAUUUGCAGCAACAUGGAUGGAACUAGAGAAUCUCAUCCUGAGUGAAAUGAGCCAGAAAGACAAAGACAAAUACCAUAUGAUAUCACUUAUAUCUGGAAUCUAAUAGCCAGCACAAAUGAACAUCUCCUCAGAAAAGAAAAUCAUGUACUUGGAGAAAAGACUUGUGGCUGCCUGAUGGGAGGGGGAGGGAGUGGGAGGGAUCGGGAGCUUGGGCUUAUCAGACACAACUUAGAAUAGAUUUACAAGGAGAUCCUGCUGAGUAGCAUUGAGAACUUUGUCCUAGAUACUCAUGUUACAACAGAACAAAGGGGGGGGAAAAAUGUAAAUGUAAUGUAUACAUGUAAGGAUCACUUGAUCCCCUUGCUGUACAGUGGGAAAAUAAAAUAAAAAAAAGGACAUAUUUGAUAUAUUUUUCUUUCCUUGACUUGUAUCUCAGGUUACAAAAAAGUUUUAGAAACAUUUUUGGGGGCCAAAGGAGGAUUCUGUCACUGUCUGGCAACCCCUGAAGUAGAAUAUGGGGAAAUGUAUUGCUUGUUCAAUAAAACAUUAAUUAGACAGCAGAUAUCUAAGAUCCUCUGUAGGAUAAUUUAAGAAAUAAACAUAAUAUCAGCACUAACGUACAAUGAUCAUUGACUGCAGAUUAUGUUUUCUAAGAUGGACAUGACAGAAUUUUCCACCUCCCACACUUUUCUUACAAUGAGAUGUUGAUACCCUCCCCUUG
rnacentral:lncRNA from 1 species